UACGAAGGGUGCAAGCGUUGCUCGGAAUCACUGGGCGUAAAGCGCACGUAGGCGGAUUCUUAAGUCGGUGGUGAAAUCCUGGAGCUCAACUCCAGAACUGCCUUCGAUACUGAGAGUCUUGAGUUCGGGAGAGGUGAGUGGAACUGCGAGUGUAGAGGUGAAAUUCGUAGAUAUUCGCAAGAACACCAGUGGCGAAGGCGGCUCACUGGCCCGAUACUGACGCUGAGGUGCGAAAGCGUGGGGAGCAAACAGG
rnacentral:rRNA from 1 species